AUGCCGCUCUCUCCGCCUCUGUACACAUUUGUAUGUCAUUUGGAUUGUUAUUUUCCUUCUUAUUUUUCAGUUACACAUCUUGGUGAUGCUAGAAAGGAGAAGCUAUCCAUUUCCCGGGUGAAGAUGACGCCGACGGAUUUGGGCAUCAGAAUCUCUACCGGUUGCCCUCAAGGAUGGCAUCUUGAACUCAGUGAAUGCAGUGACAGCUCCUGUUUUCUUGAGGGGCUGACACAUUUUGUACCUAAGUUUUGCAGAUGCUUUAGUAGCAAAUUCAGUACGUAUGUGUCCUUGGUAUGUGUUGGACACACACCAACACUCUCUUGUUGA
rnacentral:rRNA from 1 species